UACGGCCACAACACGUUGAAACACUGGUUUUCGUACUAUCACCGAAGUUAAGCUAUGUCGAGCCUGGUCAGUACCUUGAUGGAUGACCGCUUGGGUCAACU
rnacentral:rRNA from 1 species